rnacentral:rRNA from 1 species
GGGGGGGGGGGGGGGGGGGGGGGGGGGGGGGGGGGCGGGGGGAGGGAGGGGGGGCUUGCGCCUCGGACGGUAGCGGCGGGCGGGUGAGUCCCACGUGGGGAACCUCCCUAUCGGCGUGGGAUCACUUCGGGAAACCGGAGCUAAUCCCGGAUAAUCUCUUGAACCGCAUGGUUCACUAGGGAAAGACGGUUUUGCUGUCCCUUAUAGAUGGGUCCGCGCCGGAGUAGCUAGUUGGUCAUGUAACGGCUUAACAAGGCAACGAUGCGUAGCCGACCUGAGAGGGUGAUCGGCCACACGGGAACUGAGACACGGUCCAGACUCCUACGGGAGGCAGCAGUAGGGAAUCUUCCGCAAUGGGCGAAAGCCUGACGGAGCAAAGCCGCGUGAGGGAUGAAGGUCUUCGGAUCGUAAAACUCUGUUAUUAGGGAAGAACAAAUGUGUAAGUAACUAUGCACGUCUUGACGGUACCUAAUCAGAAAGCCACGGCUAACUACGUG